rnacentral:lncRNA from 1 species
CUUGGCCUCCCAAAAUGCUGGGAUUACAGGCAUGAGCCACACCCAGCCAAUGGAAGAGGCACUUUUUAAGAAUGGAAAAAAGUGCCUGACAUGACUUUCACUUUUCCAUAAAGAGUGGACGUUUUAACUAAAGGCAACAAGAAACAUAACAUACAAGAGAGAAAAACUCAUACAAAAGGGAGAGAGAAAAAGAAUAAAGGGGGGAUCCUGAAGAAGUUGCUACUUCAGAGGCAUCUGCACCCCUGAUAAAGGAUUUGUACACUCCUAAGGGUGCACAGUUCUCUCUCACGCUACGUCUCUUGGUCUUACCCAAUCAUAUAAAAAAGAAUCUAUACUUGAAUUCUAAAGGAAGAUGGGGAACAAGGUCUCUCUUGGGUUGGUUUGUUCUGCCUCAGUAACUUCAGCCUUACUGUUUCAGGGAUAACCAUCAUCACACUGAAAUGUUCAUGCCAUAAAACAAUGAAGACCAGGGCAUGUGAUAUAAAACUCCAGACUCCUAUGACAUCAGUGAAAACAAUGAGUUCUGGGCCGCAGAAACCCUGGGGCAGUGGUUUUCCAUCAGGGGAAAACUUGCCCCUCCUGCCUGCACAGAGUUGGCAAUGUCUGGAAACAGUUUUGCCUGUUAAAACUGGGGAGGGGCAACUGGCAUCUACUGGGUAGAGACCAACGGUGCUGCCAAUGCUACAACACACAGGACACCCCCCACUGUAAGAAUUAUCCUGCCUAAGUUGUCAGUAGUGCUAAGGUUGAGAAACUCUGCCCCCAGGCUAAGGUGUAGCUGGACUAUAAACCUCUUAAGGACAGAAAUCAGGUCCUGUACCCCUUUUCUAAGCACAGUUGAGGAAAAUAGCAGGGUUAAGUUAAAUGAUUCGGUCCAAAUUGUCCCAACCUGGCUAAACUUCAGAUCCUUC